UGGGGAAUCUUCGGCAAUGGACGAAAGUCUGACCGAGCAACGCCGCGUGAGUGAAGAAGGUUUUCGGAUCGUAAAACUCUGUUGUUAGAGAAGAACAAGGACGUUAGUAACUGAACGUCCCCUGACGGUAUCUAACCAGAAAGCCACGGCUAACUACGUGCCAGCAGCCGCGGUAAUACGUAGGUGGCAAGCGUUGUCCGGAUUUAUUGGGCGUAAAGCGAGCGCAGGCGGUUUCUUAAGUCUGAUGUGAAAGCCCCCGGCUCAACCGGGGAGGGUCAUUGGAAACUGGGAGACUUGAGUGCAGAAGAGGAGAGUGGAAUUCCAUGUGUAGCGGUGAAAUGCGUAGAUAUAUGGAGGAACACCAGUUGCGAAGGCGGCUCUCUGGUCUGUAACUGACGCUGAGGCUCGAAAGCGUGGGGAGCAAACAGG
rnacentral:rRNA from 1 species